UGACCCCGGCCCAGGUUAGAGAGCAGACCUGCAGCACCUUUCAAACAGACAGAAGACAAGCCUACCAGAGGGCUUUCUCUGGCUUCAGAGAAGAAUGUAAGUGCCAGGGAAUUCUUGCUCAGUAAGACACUCCUCAACCAGGAAGGAAAAGGCAUCAGAGAGAACAUGAGUUCCUUUCUCCUCAGAUGGAUGACCCUGAAACCCACCGAAAAGCUGUGAAGUUUUAUCUGAGAAGCAACAUUCCUUCCCACACCCAUCCUUCCCCCUCGCCUUGGAGUCCCCCUCAUCUUCCCACCCCACCAAGCUCUGGUCUGGCCAAGUGUUUCGUGUUCCAUCACAACCAUGUUCUAUGAAGGCGUUUCCAACUCUCUGACCUCGGUUUUGUCAUCACUCCUGCCGGGGAGCAUGGAAAAGGCCCGUGCAGAGAUGGGAAGACUGAGGCUUAGAGAGAGUAAGCAGCUAUUAAAGAUUGAAUCGGUCCUGGAACUCAGGAUCCCCAUGCUCCAUCCUUUUAAGCUCCCCAUAGUAUUUACUGUAAGUGUGUACUUUGUGAAAUAAAUGGUAC